rnacentral:rRNA from 1 species
GGUAUUGAUUGGUGCUUGCAUCAUGAUUUACAUUUGAGUGAGUGGCGAACUGGUGAGUAACACGUGGGAAACCUGCCCAGAAGCGGGGGAUAACACCUGGAAACAGAUGCUAAUACCGCAUAACAACUUGGACCGCAUGGUCCGAGCUUGAAAGAUGGCUUCGGCUAUCACUUUUGGAUGGUCCCGCGGCGUAUUAGCUAGAUGGUGGGGUAACGGCUCACCAUGGCAAUGAUACGUAGCCGACCUGAGAGGGUAAUCGGCCACAUUGGGACUGAGACACGGCCCAAACUCCUACGGGAGGCAGCAGUAGGGAAUCUUCCACAAUGGACGAAAGUCUGAUGGAGCAACGCCGCGUGAGUGAAGAAGGGUUUCGGCUCGUAAAACUCUGUUGUUAAAGAAGAACAUAUCUGAGAGUAACUGUUCAGGUAUUGACGGUAUUUAACCAGAAAGCCACGGCUAACUACGUGCCAGCAGCCGCGGUAAUACGUAGGUGGCAAGCGUUGUCCGGAUUUAUUGGGCGUAAAGCGAGCGCAGGCGGUUUUUUAAGUCUGAUGUGAAAGCCUUCGGCUCAACCGAAGAAGUGCAUCGGAAACUGGGAAACUUGAGUGCAGAAGAGGACAGUGGAACUCCAUGUGUAGCGGUGAAAUGCGUAGAUAUAUGGAAGAACACCAGUGGCGAAGGCGGCUGUCUGGUCUGUAACUGACGCUGAGGCUCGAAAGUAUGGGUAGCAAACAGGAUUAGAUACCCUGGUAGUCCAUACCGUAAACGAUGAAUGCUAAGUGUUGGAGGGUUUCCGCCCUUCAGUGCUGCAGCUAACGCAUUAAGCAUUCCGCCUGGGGAGUACGGCCGCAAGGCUGAAACUCAAAGGAAUUGACGGGGGCCCGCACAAGCGGUGGAGCAUGUGGUUUAAUUCGAAGCUACGCGAAGAACCUUACCAGGUCUUGACAUACUAUGCAAAUCUAAGAGAUUAGACGUUCCCUUCGGGGACAUGGAUACAGGUGGUGCAUGGUUGUCGUCAGCUCGUGUCGUGAGAUGUUGGGUUAAGUCCCGCAACGAGCGCAACCCUUAUUAUCAGUUGCCAGCAUUAAGUUGGGCACUCUGGUGAGACUGCCGGUGACAAACCGGAGGAAGGUGGGGAUGACGUCAAAUCAUCAUGCCCCUUAUGACCUGGGCUACACACGUGCUACAAUGGAUGGUACAACGAGUUGCGAACUCGCGAGAGUAAGCUAAUCUCUUAAAGCCAUUCUCAGUUCGGAUUGUAGGCUGCAACUCGCCUACAUGAAGUCGGAAUCGCUAGUAAUCGCGGAUCAGCAUGCCGCGGUGAAUACGUUCCCGGGCCUUGUACACACCGCCCGUCACACCAUGAGAGUUUGUAACACCCAAAGUCGGU